GUUUCUGAUAAUAAUUUAAACAGAAAGAUUUUAAAAAUGAUUUUAAAAAUAGAAAGCUGAAGCAAAAAGUCUACCUACACUGCAUUCCAUCUCAAAGACAUAAAUUAAGUUCUGCUAAAGCACUGAAUUGUUGCAGCAGGACCCCAACCAGUAAAGAUAAUACAUUCACAUUACAAAUAUUUCCAUCUACAUAUGCAGGAAAGAUCACACAUGGACAUGCCAAACCUCCAUGGUUUCCAUUUUUACCAGGUUGUGGACACAAAUAUGUUUCCUUAGGAAGAAUGGUGGUGUUUGAAAGAGAGAACCAAAGCCUAGGGCUGGAAGCAGCACAGAGCAGGAACUUUGCUUUCUGAGCAACAUUUUCAUCCAUGCCCUCUUGCCAUGCAGGUGCUGGGCAAGUGGAACAGCAGCAGCGAUCAGUGCCUGGCAUUACUUUUCCAAACUAUUUCUCUUAUAGUAGAUAUGUCUGAACAACCCAUGAAGCAUGGCAUGAAUAUUUUGCUCAUUCUCAUUUAUUUUUAGUCAGAAUUAACCUAACUCAGCUAGAUGAUCCCUAAGGUCGACUCCAACUUAAGCCAUUCUAGAGAUUCUAUAGUGUCUGUGCAUUUGAUUCAUAACAUGUAUAGCUUUCUCUCUAAUGGUGACAACAAUCUUCAGAUGGUAUUGUGUAUGUGCCAGCCACCAGUGCCUGCCAAUAAGGACUCGGACUCACUGUCCUCCCAUGUUUUGGCUUAUUUGAUUUACUGUUUCUAGUUAUUCUGUAUUUUCCUACAUUCCUUUUAAUAAUUUAAUUCUUUUAUCUCAAUCAAGUCAUUUUUUCUCCUAUCCCCCUAUCCCCUUCUUCUGUGGGGAGGGAGAGGUGUUGCGUGAUUGCAGUAGAAAGAUAAGCAAAUCGAAUCCAGAAUGUGUUCUGCCAGCCCCCCCUAGAUAGUCUAUAGAUGUAAUAAUUUGCUGGGCUUGUGCUAUCUUUGAAUGUGCAGUUGAAAUGGAGAUAGGGUGAUGUGAUAGAUGUACUUCAUGAUACACACUUUUUGCUCUUCUGUUCAAUAUAAAAUAUCACUGCUUUAAUAAGGUUGCUUUCAAUUAGUUUAUGUGAAAAUAUAAUGAAACAAUUAAGUUGUAUUACAAGUGACUGAGACUUCAUUUAAAUUUGAAAAUACUGAAAUUGAAGUCAAAGAUGUUCCUUCAUCCUCCUUUUUUUCCCAGGUGGUCAAAUAUUUGCCAUGGGGAGAACAUAUUGAAAAAUAAUAGAAUUGUGAUUGAGGCUUUUUCUCCUUAUUAUUAUUAAAGUC
ensembl:lncRNA